GACGAACGCUGGCGGCGUGCCUAAUACAUGCAAGUUGAGCGCUGAAGGAUGGUACUUGUACCCACCGGAUGAGCAGCGAACGGGUGAGUAACGCGUGGAGAAUCUGCCUUUGAGCGGGGGACAACAUUUGGAAACGAAUGCUAAUACCGCAUAAAAACUUUAAACACAAGUUUUAAGUUUGAAAGAUGCAAUUGCAUCACUCAAAGAUGAUCCCGCGUUGUAUUAGCUAGUUGGUGAGGUAAAGGCUCACCAAGGCGAUGAUACAUAGCCGACCUGAGAGGGUGAUCGGCCACAUUGGGACUGAGACACGGCCCAAACUCCUACGGGAGGCAGCAGUAGGGAAUCUUCGGCAAUGGACGAAAGUCUGACCGAGCAACGCCGCGUGAGUGAAGAAGGUUUUCGGAUCGUAAAACUCUGUUGGUAGAGAAGAACGUUGGUGAGAGUGGAAAGCUCAUCAAGUGACGGUAACUACCCAGAAAGGGACGGCUAACUACGUG
rnacentral:rRNA from 1 species